rnacentral:rRNA from 1 species
UACGUAGGGGGCAAGCGUUGUCCGGAUUUAUUGGGCGUAAAGAGCGUGUAGGCGGCUAGAUAGGUCCGUUGUGAAAACUCGAGGCUCAACCUCGAGACGUCGAUGGAAACCAUCUGGCUAGAGUCCGGGAGAGGAGAGUGGAAUUCCCGGUGUAGCGGUGAAAUGCGCAGAUAUCGGGAAGAACACCCGUGGCGAAGGCGGCUCUCUGGGACGGUACUGACGCUGAGACGCGAAAGCGUGGGGAGCGAACAGG